rnacentral:rRNA from 1 species
UACGGAGGGUGCAAGCGUUAUCCGGAUUCACUGGGUUUAAAGGGUGCGUAGGCGGGCAGGUAAGUCCGUGGUGAAAUCUCUGAGCUUAACUCAGAAACUGCCAUGGAUACUAUUUGUCUUGAAUAUUGUGGAGGUAAGCGGAAUAUGUCAUGUAGCGGUGAAAUGCUUAGAUAUGACAUAGAACACCAAUUGCGAAGGCAGCUUACUACACAGUUAUUGACGCUGAGGCACGAAAGCGUGGGGAUCAAAACGG